UACAGAGGUCCCAAGCGUUGUUCGGAUUCAUUGGGCGUAAAGGGUGCGUAGGCGGCGCGGUAAGUCAGAUGUGAAAUCCCAGAGCUUAACUCUGGAGCUGCAUCUGAAACUAUGUUUCUUGAGUGCCGGAGAGGAAAGCGGAAUUCCUAGUGUAGCGGUGAAAUGCGUAGAUAUUAGGAGGAACACCAGUGGCGAAGGCGGCUUUCUGGACGGUAACUGACGCUGAGGCGCGAAAGCGUGGGGAGCAAACAGG
rnacentral:rRNA from 1 species